ACUGUUGCCCCACUAAAGUUUGCUGAUAAUCAGAUGGACAGAACCGAUCUCCAAGAUCACAUCAAAAAGUUUGCGUCUGUGGUCACUUAGCCCUCUCGCUUUGGGACCUGUUGUGAAGCAGAACAUGGUGGCAGGUUGUAUGGCAGAAUCUGGCUGGUCAUCUGGUCACCAGGACAUACAAUAAGAAGCAAAAUAAGCCCAUCAUCAAGAGAAAACCUGGUCCAGGGACUGCAGUGUCAGGAGAGCCUAGGAUCACAGUCUUGUGCCCGUAUUUCAUGAGUUUGUAACUCCUGAUAACUUGUUUAACUUCAUAAUUGUUAGUUACUUAGAAAGAAAAUCUACUUCCAAGAUACUGAGAGAAUUGACAAUGAGAGAAUUGUUAUAGUGACAGCUCAUGAUGGCUGGUUCUUUGUCCUGGAGUGAACCACUCACAGACAUGGGUGAGAACAUUGGCUUUCCUACAUCAAAAUCCCAACAUGAAGAUAUUUUUUUACUAAACACAAUUAUUUGAAAUCACUCUGGUUUAUGGGAAGGCAUCUCUUGUGUUCCAGUCAGGUCUUUAACCACUUGGAUGAGGUCUACCACUUCAUAAAUAUGACUCUACUCUACCCGAAAGUCAACAAUUUAAAGUCUACCCAACAAAAGGGUAUAUAGGCAGAGGCUUCUGAAGACUCGAGAAGUAAAUGAAACUUUCAAGUUCCAGGAAAUUCCUGAAACAUAGGAGAUUCCUAAGGCACCUAUUAAAAGUUACAUAAAUAACAACAAUUAUGACAGAGGGCUGGGGAAAGAAAUCAGACUGGAAAAUUACUGGCCUUAGAAGCAUAAAGAUUUGGAUACCAUCCUCAGAACCCACAUUUUAAAAGCCAGGUAUAGUGGCACGUAUUUAUAAUCCAAAUACUGGGAAUUCAGAGAUGGGUCUCUGAGGUUGCUGGCCAGCCAGGGCUCCAGGUCAGUGAGACUCUGUCGCUAAUUAAUUAAUUAAUUAAUUAACAAGAUGGAUGACUGUGGUAGCUCUAAUGAGAAAAGCUCCCUGUAGUUUCAGAUAGCUAAACGCUUGGUCCCCAGUUGGUGCCAUUUUGGGGAGCAGCUUAGAAAGAACAUCAAUCGGGAGUGGAAUUGAGAAUCUGAAGACCUGUUAAUUCUAGUUCUUUCUUCCUGCUUCCUGCUUCCUGCUUCUAUUUUAAUAUGUGAGGCCUCAGCUUCCUGUUCCUGAUGCCAUACCUGUCUGCCAUGACAACGUGUACUCUGAAGAGUAAGCCAAAAUAAACUUUAUGCUCCGUAAGUCGCUUUUGAUCAUGUGCUUUACCUC